AACGAACGCUGGCGGCAUGCCUAACACAUGCAAGUCGAACGAGACCUUCGGGUCUAGUGGCGCCCGGGUGCGUAACGCGUGGGAACCUGCCCUUAGGUUCGGAAUAACUCCCCGAAAGGGGUGCUAAUACCGGAUAAUGUCUUCGGACCAAAGAUUUAUCGCCUUUGGAUGGGCCCGCGUUGGAUUAGCUAGUUGGUAGGGUAAAAGCCUACCAAGGCGACGAUCCAUAGCUGGUCUGAGAGGAUGAUCAGCCACACUUGGACUGAGACACGGCCCAGACUCCUACGGGAGGCAGCAGUGGGGGAUAGUGGACGAUGGGCGAAAGCCUGAUCCAGCAAUGCCGCGUGAGUGAUGAAGGCCUUAGUGUUGUAAAGCUCUUUUACCCGGGAUGAUAAUGACAGUACCGGGAGAAUAAGCUCCGGCUAACUCCGUG
rnacentral:rRNA from 1 species